rnacentral:rRNA from 1 species
AAGUUUCAACAACGGAUUUCUUGGCUCUCGCAUCGAUGAAGAACGCAGCGAAAUGCGAUAAGUAAUGUGAAUUGCAGAAUUCAGUGAAUCAUCGAAUCUUUGAACGCACCUUGCGCUCCUUGGUAUUCCUUGGAGCAUGCCUGUUUGAGUAUCAU